AUGAACGCUAGCUACAGGCUUAACACAUGCAAGUCGGGGGUAGCAGGGUAGCAUACCGCUGACGACCGGCGCACGGGUGAGUAACACGUAUCCAACCUUCCCAUAACUCAGGGAUAGCCUUCGAAAGAAAGAUUAAUACCUGAUAGUACUUUUCAAGGCAUCUUAGAAAAAGUUAAAGAUUUAUUGGUUAUGGAUGGGGAUGCGUUCCAUUAGAUAGUUGGUGAGGUAACGGCUCACCAAGUCUUCGAUGGAUAGGGGUUCUGAGAGGAAGGUCCCCCACAUUGGUACUGAGACACGGACCAAACUCCUACGGGAGGCAGCAGUGAGGAAUAUUGGUCAAUGGGCGAGAGCCUGAACCAGCCAAGUAGCGUGAAGGAUGGAAAGGUCCUAUGGAUUGUAAACUUCUUUUAUAGUAGAAUAAAGUGAUCCACGUGUGGAUUUUUGUAUGUAUACUAUGAAUAAGGAUCGGCUAACUCCGUGCCAGCAGCUGC
rnacentral:rRNA from 1 species